UACGAAGGGUGCAAGCGUUAAUCGGAAUUACUGGGCGUAAAGCGUGCGUAGGCGGUUUCUUAAGUCUGCUGUGAAAGCCCUGGGCUCAACCUGGGAAUGGCGGUGGAUACUGAGAAGCUGGAGUACGGUAGAGGAAGGUGGAAUUCCCGGUGUAGCGGUGAAAUGCGUAGAGAUCGGGAGGAACAUCAGUGGCGAAGGCGGCUCUCUGGGACGGUACUGACGCUGAGACGCGAAAGCGUGGGGAGCGAACAGG
rnacentral:rRNA from 1 species